UCUUGACAGUGUUCCUACCGGAUCAGAGCAGUCAGUGCUCCCGGCGUGCGGUCCUGUUUCAGGACUGCGGCACUCUGCUGGCCUUCAACAUGAACACCUACACUAACAUCAAACUCAUUGCUGGGAAGAAUAAAGAUGCUGCAGUUGUUCCUGUGGAGGUCGCUUCAGUCAUCCUGCAGUCUAUAGAUGGGACUCAGAGUGAGCUGAAGAUCAGUGGGGAAAAAAAC